rnacentral:rRNA from 1 species
GGGUGUGACCAUACCAGCACUAAAGCACCGGA